GGGCGGUUAGCUCAGCGGUAGAGCACAGCAUUCACAUUGCUGGGGUCACUGGUUCAAUCCCAGUACCGCCCACCA
rnacentral:tRNA from 3 species